rfam:Myotis davidii contig75112, whole genome shotgun sequence.
AGGACUAAAAGAGAAGCAGGGUCUGAUCCACAGCUUCCAUGGCAGCUGUUGAUCAGCCCUUGACUCUCUCUUUCUCUCCA